GCAGGGUUAGUACAUCGGUAGUACAACGGCUUCCCAAGCCGUGGAGGCGGGUUCGAUUCCCGUACCCUGCUCCA
rnacentral:tRNA from 1 species